rnacentral:lncRNA from 1 species
AAAAACUCAAGUGAAGCACAAUUUUAAUCCAUAAAUCAAUACAUGUCCACUGUUAUACUAUUACAACGGACUAUACUAACAACUCAACCGACCUCCCGAGCUAACUCUGAUCCUACAAACCUGGAGUUAGGGGAAAGGGAUAAGCUAUAAGAGCCUAGUGAGCAUAAACAUAAAUACAAGCAGUUUAAAAAAUAAAUGACCGUAUGAAUGCAUCAUAAUACAAAUAAUUCACAACAUAAAUAAUUUACAUCAAGAUGGACUUAUCACCAAUAACCCUCUACAUAUUCUAAUAGUGUCCGGCCCAUGAUGGGUGCUCUUCAGGACUUCCUCUUAAACAUAACAUAACAUAUCCAUAGUGUCAGAAGCAUAGAAUAGGCAACCCUAGUCUUUCCCUUACAUAGUGCCAGGAGUGUAGAAUGGGUAAGCCCUGGUCUUUUCAUAUCUGUCAUAACAUAUCAUAACAUACUCGAAAGCUAGUAUGUCAUCCAACAUCCAUCCACAAUGACAAAAAAAUUAUGCAAUACAACAUAUUCAUGAAUUCUAAUGCAAAGCACUAUAAUCAUAUAUAUACAUGGCAUUCGUGAUGCAUGAGUGUCCUUAAAACAUUUGCUUUUCUUUGAAAUAAUAAUUUAGUUUAGUUAUACUCACCUCUGACUGAUGCACACCUAACUCUGAAACAGUUAUCUCAUUGCAAGUUUUUAUGGUCUCCCAAGUUUGAUCCUACAUAGAUAGACUUAAAUGAGAGACCAAACAUAAUUUUUAUAACUCAAAAAACUACUCCAAUAAACCCCUAUAAACAUAUAAGAACACACGUAGGAAACAAGCUAAAAAAGACUGGACAGGGGAGCAGAUUUAGUGGCCUAAAGCUCAUUCACAGAUCCGAAAGUUAAACCUUCGGAGGCAGGUUAGACGGCUAAAAGGCUACCUCCACAGGCCGGUUUGGCAAUUGAACUUUACUUUAAUGGCCAAACCUGGAUUCUCUAGCAAGGCAGAAUUCGAUUCUACCUUAACUCACAGCCACCAAAACACAAUGGAAUUCCCAUGCAAUGGUUCAACAACAACAAAAAAUAACUCAACACACUAGAACCACUUAAAAAUAACCUAACUUCAUCAUGCAUUGAUCUAUAAGGCAACAUCCAUCAUCUAAAAGUGAGAACUUAAACCUCAAACCAUUUUAAAAGAAUCAUGCAUCCAUCAACAAAUCGUUAAAACACCUAUAAUUCUUUUUGAAAAACCUCAGCAACAGAAGAAAAGCAAUAAUUAAAACUUACCUCUUGGAGACACAAUGAUGACAGCAACCAAGAACUUGGAAAAGAGAACAACCGAUAUCCGAAAGAUCUCCAAAGGCUAAAAUUUAAAAAGAUGACUUCGAUUGUUCAAAACAAAGAAAAAAACUCAUGAAUUCUCUAAGAGAUUUGAAGAAAACUCAACAAAAUCAUCAAGGAAUUAUAGGCUUACCUCUACUCAGAAGAAGAGAGAAGAAUUCCUUUCAAAAUUGGGCUGAGACCCUUUUAUAGUUGGGUCUGCUAGCUAAUGUUCGGCGGCCAAACAUGAGAGGUUCGGUGACCGAACCUUGAUGACUUGAAAAUCCCUUUCUUUUUAACACAUUUUAAAAUACUUUAAAUUCAUUUUAUAAAAGCCCAUUUUAACCUUCUAAAGAUUUUAGUUUCAAAAUUCUGGAUUCCAAUGAAAAUUCUGUCGAAAAAUUAAAAUUUUGAUGCUAGAGUUUAGCCGAGUAUUACAUUCUUUCUCCCUUAAGAACAUUCAUUCUCGAAUGUUCAACCAAAUAAGCAAACAAAACAUAUAUAUCAAGAAGACACAUAAAACCAUUUUAAUAACUUACUUCAAAAGAGAUGAGAGUACUGCCUAAACAUCGACUCUCUGGUCUCCCAGAUAUACUCUUCUAUAUUUCGGUGAUUCCAUAAAACUUUCACCAUCAUGAUUUCCUUAUUCCUCAGCUUUUUGAUCUGCGUAUCUACAAUUUGUACUGGCUGCUCAACAUAGGUGCGAUAUCUUAGGAUCUCCAUAUUAGACUCAUUAAGAAUCUUGCUCGGGUCUGACAUGAAUUUCUGUAAUAGAGAAACAUGAAAAAUUGGAUAGAUUCUCUCUAUGGAAGCAGGUAAAUCUAACUUAUAAGUUACAUUCCUAAUCUUUUACAAGAUUUCAAAGGGUCAGAUGUAUCUUGGAGCUAGUUUACCUUUCUUUCCAAACUGAAUCAUCCCUUUCAUAGGAGACAUCUUAAGCAAUACCAUAUCACCCUCCUGAAAGAUGACUUGGUUUCUACGGAUGUUUGCAUAACUCUUCUGCCUACUCACAGCUGUUUUGAUUCUUUCGCUGAUGAAGGGCACCACCCUAUUGGUGAUCUCUACCAAUUCUGGUCCUGCUAAAACCCUUUCUCCUACUUCUUUCCAACAAACAGACGACCUGCACUUCCUCCCAUAUAAAGCUUUAUAAGGAUCCAUCCCAAUACUAGCAUGGUAACUAUUAUUGUAGAUAAACUCCACCAAUGGUAGAUGUUGUCUCUAAGAACCACCAAAGUCUAACUUGCCUAGAAACUGAGUACACACCCAAGCACAAAGACAUGCAAAAAAAAACCAAACACAAAUAGCACAAAGCAAAGAGAUGGAAGAGACACAAAACAUGGUAACCCUGAAAAUAGCUCAUUGCCACCAACGCUUAUCCUUUGGCUCCAUCCAAUGAAAAACAUGCUUAAAACAAAAGACAUGCAGAUAGAGACGACACAAAAGCAGCAAAGGUGAAAACCCAAUCCAACCACAAUUGAGCAAAAUAGACCAAAACAAAGCUCUCCUGCAAACAACCAACAACCAAAAUUGUCAAAUAGAACUUGACUCACCGAACGAAGAACACCACACAGAGGAAGAGAACGUGAUAGAGCUCAGUCUCGUUGGAAUCAGUGGCAACAUUCAUCGUCGGACGCAUCGACGUGAUCCCAAGAUGUCGACGUCAAAGUCAAGAAACCUCUUCUGAGUAGAAAUCAAAACAUUCCAAAGAGAAACAUCAAAAUCCAAGACCACUAGAAACAAAAAAAGUGCAACAAGCACAAAACAAACUCUAAACUAGACAAAACUAUACAUGGCCAAACAGUGAGAAGACUCAGACGCCAAAGCCCCCUCCGCACCGGCCAGAGAAACCCACACCGAAACGACCUUUAGACUUUUUACUUUCUCUCUCUUUUUUUACUCUCACCAAAACGAUCUUACAAGUUUAAUUCAUAUGAAUUCAUACUCUAAAUAGCCUUACUCAUUUUUGUUUUCUGGCUUAGCCUAAGUCUAUGUUUGGAUGGAAAAAAAAGUGAAGGAGAGGGAAAGUAAUGUGUGAAAACAAAAGAGAAUUUUGAUUUUCCAUUUAUGAAAGGAAGGAAAACAAAAAGAGGAAGGGGAAAUAUAUUUUCUUCUCAAAAAUGAAAAUAUUUAUUUUCCUAUUUUUUAUCAAUCUAAGCAUGAAGAAGGAAAAUAAAAAAUAAAAAAAAUAUUUUUCUUUUAUUAUUUUCUUUUCUCUCCUAUAAACUCAAAUAUAGUAUAAAGAAUGUGAAUGUAAUUUUAAAUUGAAAUGAUAUUUCCUUUUAUUUUCUCUUCAAAUCGAGGAGAAAAUAAUCAAAGUAAAAUAAUUUUUAUUUCCCCUCUUUUUUUUUUAUCUUUCUUUACUUUUUCAAAAAAUAUUUAAUUAAAAUUAUUUUUUUUCCUUUUAUUUUUCUUCCUUUAACUUUUUUCACAUCCAAACAUGCUCUAAAAUUGAUUUAUUUUCUCUCUUUUGGAUAUGAGUGAGGAAAAUAAAAAAUAGAGUUCCUUAUUUUCCUUCCUCUCCCAUAAAAUAUUAAAACAGAGUGAAAAGCGUUGCUUCCCAAGACGAGAAGACAAAAUUUGUUCUUUCUGUAACUCGGUUACAUUCCUUGGUUUCGUUGCCUGUCUUUUACUCCAAGUACGCUUCCUGCCUCUUCGCAGGACCACCUCUUCGUGUGUUUUCUCAUCUGGCCAUGUUUAUCCGAGCCCCUGAAGCAAAAUAAAUACACGAUUGACGCAGUUAGAAGAAAUACGCUUGUGAGCGAAAAUGGGGAUUCUCGAAGCGCACAACGUCAAGGUUUUGGGGUCAGGACUGCAAGUUUUAGUCCUAUCUCAUAGCUUUGGCACCGAUCAAUCUGUGUGGAAGUAUCUGGUGCCAUACCUGCUCGAAGACUAUCGUGUUAUUUUAUAUGAUAGUAUGGGUGCUGGUUCCACUAACCCAGAUUAUUUCGACUUCGAAAGAUACUCAACCAUUGACGGGUUUGCUUAUGAUUUGCUUGCCAUAUUAGAUGAACUAGAGGUGAAGUCUUGUAUUUUUAUUGGCCACUCAGUUUUGAGUAUGGCUGGUGCCAUUGCCUCUGUUUCUCGCCCUGAUCUCUUCUCUAAGCUCGUCUUCAUCUGUGGCACUCCGAGGUACAUAUAAAUCUCUCAUUCGAAAGCAUUAACUGUAAAAUUUUAUCAACUGAUUUCAUAAAGCUUUUGCAUGUUGAAACUAGGCCAUUGAAUGAUAAAGACUACCAUGGAGGAUUCGAGCAAGCAGACCUUGACCAAAUGCUGAAAGGAAUGCGUUCAAAUGUCGAAGCUUGGUGCCAAGGCUUCGCACCAAUGGUGGUAGGUGGCGACAUGGACUCGGCGCUUCUGCAAGAAAUCUCCCGAACAUUAUUCAACAUGAGACCUGAUAUAGGCUUAAGUUUAACCCAGGUAAAAUUCCAAUGUGACACUAGACAUAUUUUGCCUCUGGUCAAAGUCCCAUGCCACAUACUGCAGAGCGCCAAGAACAUGGUGCCAGUGGAGGUGUCUGAAUAUAUGCAUCAACAUCUUGGAGGCCCAUCUGUUGUCGAGAUUAUGUCUUCGAAAGGUCACUUGCCGCAUUUGAGCUCUCCAGACAUCGUCAUCCCAGUUAUUCUCAGGCACAUUAACCUUGAUAUAACCAAAUGAUCUAUAUACAUAUAAUGUGUGGUUUGUCUUCCAUGUGAAUGUGUGUGCUUUGUUUUCCAUGUCAAUAUCUCCUAAUCCUUUCUAUGUUUUCACUAGCAAGAAAUGAGAAGCUAUAGACCUUGUAAGCUUCAAACCUUUAAUUAAGCAUAAUGAUAUUCCAUCUUGUAUGAAUUUUGUUUAUGAUAUUCGUAAGAAAUAUUUAUUAAACAAAACUCUUUCCAUGGAAUAUAACUGAACCCAAGCAAAGAUGGCAAUAAUAAUACUAAUAAUAAUUUCAUAUAACUAUAAAUAAUAUGAAAAUUAUAAUAUUAUUGAAAUAACAUCAUAGCUUAAAUAGAUUUCUUUAGUACCAAAAUUUAGAUUCUUUCCUAAAUUUAAAUUGUUUAACUCGAUACCAUUAGAUACAUAUUUUCUAUAUUUAAUUUUUUUUAAAAAAAGUCUAAUUAUUACCCAUAAAACUCACUAAAUAAUCUAAUUAUUACUUAUUAAUAUAUUAUUUUUGAAAAUUUUAAUUUCUUUCUAAAUUUAAAUAAUUUAACGUAUAAUUUUAAUUGUUUAUAUUGAUUUGUAACAAAGUGAUUUGAAAAACCACUUCUUAAGCAAUAAAAAAUGGGUGUAUAUAAUAACUUCUGUUUGUGAAUAUUUUGAGAUGAAGAAAAAACUGAAAUUAUAGUUGAAAAUGAGAAGUAACGUUACAAAAGAGGCAUUUGCGAUAGAAAAAAUCCAUCAAUUUUAAUAAUUAUUCAGUCGUUGAAAGUAACAGCAACGAAAUUGCGACUGUAAAAAUUUCCUUAUUAAUAACCUAAUUGCUAAUAUCAGCAACAGAUUUCUAACUUCGUCACCUGUUGCUAAAAAUAUCAAUACAUAUAUUUAUCACGAAUCAUAUAUUCUUAAAGUCAUUGCAAAGUUAUCAAAAAUUCUAUUUUCUUCGUUCUAUAAUGUUUUUUCGAAAUUAUUAUCUAUUUUUUUUUUAUUUUUAAUAUUAUAAUUAAUAUAUAAAUGGAGUAUUAUAAUUUUAUUUUAUUUUCAAUAUAUACUGUAAUUAAUUUUUAUUUUUCUAAAUAAACAUUUAAAACAUCUCUUGGUAUUUAAUAAAAUUUAAUAUUUUUAAAAUAGAUAUAAUUAAAAAGUUAAUAUUAAAAAUUAUUUUUUUUAAUAUAAAAAAAAUAAAAUGAAAAAAAAUAUAGAACGAAAGAGUGUAAGUUAUAUAUUUUAUAAUUUUUCUAUAUAUUUUUUGUGUUUGUAUAUUUACAACACUUAAUAAGUAGAAUAAAUUAAUUGUGAUAUUCUGAAAAUUAUCAUGAACAUGCAUAUGUUAAUAAAAUUAGUAGAAUAAUUCAAACAUAAUAGUAAAUCUAAGUACAAACAUAUAAAUGAUAAAAAAAAAAAAAUCAUUUUUCAUCCGUAGAUGAUCUGAAUUUUUUUGAGUUCAAUUACUUCUUUUCAAAAAUAUUUGUGGAGUUCAAAUUUUUUCCCAAAGUAUUGCAUAAUUUCAACGUUAAAGCAAUCGGCCGGUGACUCGAACUAGUUAAAAUUAAAAUGAAGAAAUUAAAGAGUGCUUCUAAAAACAUAUUAAAAUGUUAAAAUGAAUUAGUUAAGUUGAUAUGGAACAGUUAGACUCCUAUUAGGAUUAGGAUUAGGAUUAUUUUUGCAUAUUAGGAUUUUAUUUAUAUUGUAAAUAGCCUCCCUUGACUAUUAGGAUUUUAGACUCCUAUUAGGAUUUUAGACUCCUAUUAGGAUUAAGAUUAUUUUUGCAUAUUAGUAUUUUAUUUCUAUUGUAAAUAGCCUCCCUUGGCUAUUAGAAUUUUAGACUCCUAUUAGGAUUACGAUUAUUUUAUUUCUAUUAUAAAUAGCCUCCCUUGGCUAUUAGAAACUCACUUUUCAAUCUUUGAGGAAUUUCAAUAAAACUUUUAGUCUUCUAGCCUAUAUUUUCUCUUAUUUCGUCUUAGCCAAAUGAUAUUGGUUAAAACUCCUGACGGAGUCUAAAUAGUCCUACAUCAGAUUGGUAUUAGAGCGAAAUUCGACCAUGGCAGAUAACCAAGAGGCGCGACUUGCUGCGAUUGAGGCAUCCUUGGCAGAAUUGAGGGAGAUGAUCGGACAGCUCACCCUGCAGCAGGGAAUCCACCAACUUGCCGCCACCGCACACCCCCAGCCAGUCGCCAAUCCUGUGGCCGCCAAUCUUGUGGUCGACAAUAAGGGAAAGGCAGUCACCUAUGUAGUGAAGAAAAUCUUAUGCUCAACUAAACAGGAGGAUGAGACGCAAAGGAGGAAGAUUUUCCAGGCCAAGUAUCGAGUAGGAGAGGCAAUUUGCAGGCUAAUUAUCGAUAGCUAUAGUUGUGAGAAUUUGAUAGCCAAGCAAUUGGUAGAAAAAUUACAGUUGCCUACACAGCCUCACCCCUCACCAUACAAAGUCGGAUGGAUUAAGGAAGGACCAACAAUUGAGGUCAACAGAAUCUGCAGCGUGCCUAUCUCGAUCGGUAAAUCUUAUACUGAACCUGUUAAUUGUGAUGUUGUGGAUAUGGAUUGCUGUGGCAUUUUGCUAGGUCGCCCGCGGCAAUUCGACGUUGAUGCUUUGCAUAAAGGGAAGAAGAAUUCAUACAUGUUCACGUGGAAUCAAAAGAAGAUUACUAUCUUGCCUUCCGGUUCUGCGAAACAUUCUAAUGUGGAAGGGAAGCAUACUGUUGCUGUUUCUACAGGAGUGCAGAAGCUAUCAGGCGCAGUUGAGAAAUCUGGAGGCACACUAGCUUUAUUGGUGAGAGCAAAAGGUACAAUGGAGGAUGCACCAUCUUUACCACCGCCCGUCAAAGAGUUGUUGAAGGAGUUUCCUAAGAUAGUAGAGGAAUCAUCAAAGCUUCCACCCCUGCGGGAUAUCCAACAUCAGAUUGAUCUCAUUCCUGGAUCAAAAUUACCGAAUCUGCCUCAUUACAAGAUGAGUCCAAAGGAGAGUGAAAUCCUCUAAGUACAAGUGGAAGAAUUACUGAAGAAGGGACAUAUUCGGGAGAGCAUUAGCCCCUGCGGAGUACCUGCCCUAUUAGUUCCAAAGAAAGAUGGGACUUGGAGAAUGUGCGUGGAUAGCAGGGCCAUCAACAAAAUUACAGUUCAAUAUCGAUUUCCUAUUCCACGAUUGGAUGACAUGCUAGAUCAGCUAUUCGGGGCUAAAGUCUUUUCUAAAAUCGACCUCAAAAGUGGCUAUCACCAAGUUCGGAUCAAGGAGGGAGAUGAAUGGAAGACUGCCUUCAAGACUAAGGAAGGCUUGUAUGAGUGGCUGGUUAUGCCCUUUGGUUUAACAAAUGCACCUAGCAUUUUUAUGCGACUCAUGAACCAGGUUUUGCGUCCUUUCUUACGCAAAUUUGUGGUUGUUUAUUUUGAUGACAUUUUGAUAUUUAGUCGCAGUGAGGAAGAACAUCUUCAGCAUCUCCGUCAAGUCAUGACGGCCCUACAAGAAAGUGAGUUGAUUAUUAAUCUUAAGAAGUGCAUCUAUAUGACGGAGCGCGUUCUGUUCCUGGGAUUCGUUGUUAGUGCAGAAGGGAUACAUGUUGAUGAGACGAAGGUAGAAGCAAUACGGAAUUGGCCCAUCCCCAAAACUAUUUCUGAAGUUCGUAGCUUUCAUGGCCUUGCCACUUUCUACCGACGGUUUAUCAGAAAUUUCAGCAGCAUCGUUGCCCCUAUCACAGAUUGCUUGAAAAAAGAGAGAGUGCAAAAAUUUGCAUGGACUGAAGCUGCCAACAAGAGCUUUGAAGAGAUUAAAGAUAAGCUUACUUCUGCCCCUAUUCUUGCUCUACCUGAUUUUGAUAAACUGUUUGAGAUUGAAUGUGAUGCUUGUGGAGUUGGGAUUGGAGGAGUAUUGUCACAGUCUAAAAGGCCUAUUGCCUUCUUUAGUGAGAAACUGAAUGAAGCUAGAAAGAAGUAGUCUACUUAUGAGCAGGAACUAUAUGCAGUAUUCCGGGCUUUUAAAACUUGGGAGCAGUAUUUGAUGGGAUGAGAAUUUAUUAUUCACACAGAUCAUCAGUCUCUGAUCCAUUUUAAAACUCAAAAACAUGUGAAUAAGAUGCAUGCCCGAUGGGCAGCUUACUUUGGAGCCUUUCAUUAUGUCAUUAAACAUAAGGCUAGCCAUAGUAAUAAGGUGGCAGAUGCUUUGAGUAGGAGGGCUGCUCUGUUGAUUACAGUUAAUCAGGAGGUUGUAGGUUUUGAAUUCCUGAAGGAUUUGUAUGCUACAGAUGAUGAUUUUGUUGAUAUAUGGGCUAGAGUCCAGACUCACCAGCCUACUGAUGGGUUCUUGAUACAUUAUGACUUUCUUUUUAAGGAGAACAGGUUAUGCAUCCCUCGAUCUUCCUUGCGGGAGAAGUUGAUUCGUGAGAUCCAUGGAGGAGGUUUGAGUGGUCAUUUGGGGCGUGAUAAGACUAUUGCUGGGUUGGAGGAGCGUUUUUACUGGCCUCAAUUAAAAAAGGAUACAGGUCGAAUGGUUCAGAAGUGCCCAGUGUGUCAAACUCAGAAGGGACAUUCGCAGAAUACAGGCUUAUACACUCCACUGCCUAUUCCAGCCCAUCCUUGGGAGGACUUGUCUAUGGAUUUUGUUCUUGGUCUUCCACGUACUCAACGUGGAUCUGAUUCCAUUUUUGUUGUUGUUGACAGGUUCUCUAAAAUGGCGCAUUUCAUUCCCUGCAAGAAAACUAAUGAUGCUUCCCAUGUAGCAAAACUAUUUUUCCAGGAGAUUGUUCGCUUACAUGGUGUCCCCAAAACCAUUACUUCUGACAGAGAUGUGAAGUUUCUAGCUCACUUCUGGGUGACUUUAUGGAAACGCUUCGGGACUGAACUUCGAUACAGCAGUGCUGCUCACCCCCAAACUGAUGGACAAACUGAAGUGGUAAACCGCACGCUUGGCAGUCUUCUACGCUGCAUCUGCAGUAACAAGAAAACUGCUUGGGAUCUUACUCUUGCCCAAGCAGAAUUUGCUUACAACAGUGCAAUUCACAGCUCCACAAAGAUGUCACCAUUUGCUGUUGUGUACAGGAAAGUCCCAGCGCAUACAGUUGAUCUUAUCGCACUUCCCACAGGUUAUCACAACCGUCUUGCAGCAAGCAACCUGGCAAAGCAGCACGUGGAUGUUUUCAAGCAAGUACAACAAUGCCUUACGGAAGCCAAUGAUAAAUAUAAAGUUAUAGCUGAUAAACAUAGGCGUUUCAAAUCCUUCAAUGUCGGUGAUCAAGUUAUGGUGUAUUUACGUAAGGAGCGUGGUGGAGGACAGAAAAAGCUUGACGCCAAAAAGAUUGGUCCAUUCCGGAUCAUUCAGAAGAUUAAUGACAAUGCCUAUGUUUUUGACCUUCCACAUGAGAUGAAAAUUUCCAAGACGUUUAACGUAGCGGAUCUAUUUCAGUACUAUCCUGUUGAAGACAACUCGAGGUCGAGUUCUUUACAAGUGGAAGGGAAUGAUAUGGAACAGUUAGACUCCUAUUAGGAUUAGGAUUAUUUUUGCAUAUUAGGAUUUUAUUUCUAUUGUAAAUAGUCUCUCUUAGCUAUUAGGAUUUUAGACUCCUAUUAGGAUUAUAAUUAUUUUAUUUCUAUUAUAAAUAGCCUCCCUUGACUAUUAGAAACUUACUUUUUAAUUUUUGAGGAAUUUCAAUAAGUCUUUUAGUCUUCUAACCUAUCUUUUCUCUUAUUUCGUCUUAGCCAAACGAUAUUGGUUAAAAUUUCUGACGGAAUCUAAAUAGUCCUACAUCAUAAGUGGUGUAGAGAGCUAACCAAUGAAAGCAGUUGAGUAGAGACCUCGAGUUACGAAGAAAAUCAACGACGCUUAAUCUGUGAAGAGAAUCCACCGCCUCGCCUUAGUUCUUGUGGAUGUCGGCACUGUAUAAUCCUCGCUUCAACGCCAUUGCCUAUCAAAACCUAAAACAAAUUAAGACAGCAGGAACUGAAAGAGAAAGUGGAAAUGAGAUAAAAUCUAGUGAAAGUCCAUCGCUAGGCAAUAAUGGGACACUAACCAGUCAUAAAAGUUCAGGUUAGCUGACGUAAACUCAUCCCAUGAAAAAUGAUGAACCAUGCCUCGCCACACCUGCUUAGCAACUUCGCAGUCCCAUAAAACAUGAAAGGCUGAUUCUAUUUCUGCAUGACAAACGCUUCACUUAGAUGUCGCCGAAUCCGUUCAAAGUUAGUGAGUCAUAAGAAUAUGCGCAUGCAUUGAGGUCCAUUCCAUUUCCAAAUCUGUUUCCAGCGCCUAUCUAGCAGAGAAUAACCUGUUUUAAUGGAGAACUGACGGGGGUACGUAGUAAGAUCCCAGACUGGACAAUCAAGUCCCAUGUAUAACGAAGGUGGUGGAAUAGCCGAGAGAGAGAAGAGUAGAGGCUCCUUCAUCCGAUUCCAAGACCAACGACCCUCCUCAUUCACGUAGUCACUAACAGGGCAAUGCAGGAUACUGUCUCGGGGUUGCUUGACUGCUACCUUACUCAGAGGAAUGCCACCGAAAACAUAAGUAUUUUCCAGACCUUGACGGCUUCCCGUUCGCAACUGACCAAACUGGUGAAUUCCACAUUGCUUUAGAAUUUGUGGAACAGAGGCAAUAUGCCCUUAUAAAAGUCUCAGUUACUCCUCUCUAGUUUUUGGAGUGAACAAAUAACAAAUUUAACACAAACCAACUUUUCCGAGAGCCAAAAGCCAUCUUUCUUUUGCCAAAGCUUAUCCACUGUAGACUGCAUAGAAUAGACUGGAAUAGCUACGAUUGAGCUAGAC